AGAAAUGGAGAACUAACAGGUAUGCAUUUCUGAAACCAUUAUUAUAUUCAAAACCAAGGAUUCGUAUAAAAGCAUAUUAAUGAUUAUGAAUCUGAUCGCUUUAAACUUUAACUAACAUGAAACUAAGCAUGACGGAAUCAGCAUUUCUUGAUUUUCUUCAAUUAGCAGAAAUAGUGUUUGUGCCUUCUAAUUAUGUAGAUAGAACUUCUGGUCUAUAAUUCAAUAGUUUAUUAUGAUUAUUGGAGUUAAAUAAAUACAAACUUACUUUUUUUUUUUUUUGUCUUUUGUAUUUUUUUAUAUCAAAUUUUAUGCAAUUUUCAAUACAUAUAUGGUAUUACUCUCACUCCCUGCAUCUCUCGUUUUGCUUAUUUAUAAAUAUAACUAAUAAUAAUUAAUUAGCACAAGGAUUUAUGGCAUGUUUGUUGGUCCAUUCUAUUGCAGUCUGAAUAAAGUUGGCCUAGUUAGGCAGUUAGCGUCGGCGAGCAAUGAACAAAUGGACACGAGCACAGUACGCACCGCAUCCAUUUGUCAUUCUGACUGAAGAGAUUCAAGGUCAUGCCAUUUGGGCUCGGCUCAAGGGCCUAUUCUGGAAUGGGCCUCAUGCCACCAGUUUACAUUAUAGAAAGCCCUUCAGGUCAAAGGCUUCCAUUGGGCCUGAUGUCAACCCGACACCUAAUAACUAAAAAUAAAAUAAUUGAGAAUUUUCUGGCGAUUUUAUUGAUAAAAAAUUGUUAAUUGCAUUUCACUGUAGCGUGAGUCCAAAUUUUGAUUAAAUCACGAGGGGCAGAAGGCGUGUUUCUUGAGGGCCGUGAAUCAUAUCACGAGGCACUCUUUCACUUGUUGUUUUGGGGUUGCCCGUGAGCUCUCGUUACCAUUUUCCACGCCAUUUAUUAAAUUACAAAGCUUUUACAUGAAUGAUCUUCAAAGUGACUGCGACCGUGAGCGAGCGUUUUGUUAUGCUUCGGUCAAAAUUAUUAAAUAAGUUAAUUGACAUAAAUUCCACGUUUUUUCAUUGACUUUUAUUUUGUGUUAAAUAUUGACCAAAAAUUAAGAAAGCAAUCAGCUCUUGUAACGUGCUCUGUUCUGUUACUCUUUCUUUUGAUAUAUCUUUACCAAUCUCGUCAGCUGUUGCUUUUCUUUUAACGUGGUCGUUGUUUGUAUUUGAUGAUCCCAAAAUACACGCAACGUAAUUUAGCAAUU
rnacentral:lncRNA from 1 species